rnacentral:rRNA from 1 species
UACGUUAGCGGCGGACGGGUGAGUAACACGUGGGUAACCUACCUAUAAGACUGGGAUAACUUCGGGAAACCGGAGCUAAUACCGGAUAAUAUUUCGAACCGCAUGGUUCGAUAGUGAAAGAUGGUUUUGCUAUCACUUAUAGAUGGACCCGCGCUGUAUUAGCUAGUUGGUAAGGUAACGGCUUACCAAGGCGACGAUACGUAGCCGACCUGAGAGGGUGAUCGGCCACACUGGAACUGAGACACGGUCCAGACUCCUACGGGAGGCAGCAGCC